UUGACCUCAAAUCAGGUAGGACUACCCGCUGAACUUAAGCAUAUCAAUAAGCGGAGGAAAAGAAACUAACAAGGAUUCCCCUAGUAACUGCGAGUGAAGUGGGAAAAGCUCAAAUUUAAAAUCUGACAGUCUUUGACUGUCUGAGUUGUAACCUAGAGAAGUGCUACCUGUGCUGGACCAUGUAUAAGUCUCCUGGAAUGGAGUGUCAGAGAGGGUGAGAAUCCCGUCCUUGACAUGGACUGCCAGUGCAUUGUGGUGUGCUCUCAAAGAGUCGAGUUGUUUG
rnacentral:rRNA from 1 species